UCGGAUGUGGUGGACGGUGCACAUCGGCUUCAUAUACUGAAGUAAGAAAUGAGCCGUUAAGCCGAAGGCCGGGGUUCGACUCCCCGCAUCCGAA